ACCACCGCACAAACGGCUGCGGGAGACCGGCCGUUAGGAGAUUGCGUGGCACUCCACGUUCGUCCUCCGCAAGUCCAAGGAGGCUUCCUAUUCCCCCGAAACGUAUCUGGGCUCAAGGUGGAGCAGACUGAACAAUUGUGGCUCAGUGUCCAAUAGAUGUCCAUGUUGCUGUCACAACAAGCAUCUGUGUAACUGCUCACUGCUCCCAAGUUUAACCAGUUUGACAGUAAACAAGAGGACUGGCCUGAAUAUCGCUUACAACUGGAAUCCCACUUCGCAGCUUACAACAUUGAAGAACUCUGGCAGAAACAGGAGCAGAACUGUUAAUGUAGUUAACUGGCGAAUCAUCGUUAUGAAAUGCCAGUUGGCAUCCAUUUGGUGUGUCAAUCCAGCCACAUCUAGCCAAGUGUGAUUAGUAUCAGUUUUAAUUCAGCUUUAUCCACUAUUGCACUUUUGUAAGUAGACUCUAUAGAUUGUGUAAAUCUGGAGCAACCCAUCACACUGAUGCGGCAGUUCCAUAUAAUAAAGCAAACUGUCACAUAAGACAGCAAUCAAUUUCAUUUAAAAAAAGGUAAAACUCAAGUUUUAAAUAUUUUAAUUUCUCUGAAACUACAAAUCAGUUUUUGAAGAAUUAAAUGCUACUUAACAAUAUCAUGAAAGGAACAGUUGCUACUCACUGUAUAGUGGAGAUGCUGAGUCACACAUAGGCACGACUACAAUCUCUGGCUGCUAAAGCCAGUUAACUGGUGAAUCAUCUGUAUGACACGCCAUUUGUCGUCAAGUUGGUGUGUCUGGCUUCAGCUGCCAGACUCUGUGGUCGUGUGUGUGUGUGUGUUGGCUUUUUUGACAAAGGCCUUGUUGGCCAAAAGCUCAUUUUGUGACAAUCUUUUUGUUGUGCCUAUCUGUGACUCAGCAUUAUAUAUGGUGAGUAGCCCCUACUCCUUUCAUAAUAUUGUUAAUUCCAUACUGUAUUUUUCAUUGUUUGAUUUUGCCUAAAUGCUAUUAAUUUGCUUCUUCUAAAAUGAGUAUAGGUGAAAAUACUAUAGCUCCAUUUGAAAGAGUGAGGUUGAUACUGAUAACAUCAUCAACAGCCAACCUGAUAAAUUGGUAAUGUGUCCUCUUGAGUCAUCGUUCAACAUAGGACCCAAGCAAGUUCUUCCAUUUCUGCGAUCUUGAGCUUCCCAUAGCUAAUUCAAUCCAGCUGUCUUUAAAAGUCUCUGUCCCAUCUAUAUGGUGGUCUUCCCUUUGUUUUUUUUUUUUUGUAAAUUGGGCUUUAGUCUAAUACUUGUUUUGCCCAUCGGGCAACUUUUCUUUGAGUGACGUGACCAGCUCACAGCCAUGUCAAGGUAUGCACCCUUUGCAUUAAAUCACUGACCGUUAUCACACAUCAGUUAUCAACUGCUUUCUUUCUGUGUACAGCCUAAAUAAAACAGAAAGAAACAUUCCACAUGGAAAAAAUAUAUUAAAAUCAAAGAUUCCAUGACUUACCAAACAGGAAAGCGCUGGUAGAUAGGCACAAUAAAAAAACACACAAACACACACACAAAAUUUCGAGCUUUCGCAACCCACGGUUGCUUCGUCAGGAAAGAGAGAAGGAGA